rnacentral:rRNA from 1 species
AUUCCAGCUCCAAUAGCGUAUAUUAAAGUUGUUGCAGUUAAAAAGCUCGUAGUUGGAUCUCAGGUGCAGGCGGGCGGUCCGGCUCGCGCCGGUCACUGCUCGUAUCUCCUGCCCUACCGUUUGCCGGCUCUCUCCCGUGGGUGCUCUUCACUGAGCGUCCCGGGUGGCCGGUGCGUUUACUUUGAAAAAAUUAGAGUGUUCAAAGCAGGCCUCGGCAGCCUGAAUAAUGGUGCAUGGAAUAAUGGAAUAGGACCUCGGUUCUAUUUUGUUGGUUUUCGGAACGGAGGUUAUGAUUAACAGGGACAAACGGGGGCAUUCGUAUUGCGGCGUUAGAGGUGAAAUUCUUGGAUCGCCGCAAGACGAGCUACUGCGAAAGCAUUUGUCAAGAAUGUUUUCAUUA